rnacentral:rRNA from 1 species
UUGCACGCUGGCGGCAGGCCUAACACAUGCAAGUCGAACGGUAACAGGAAGAAGCUUGCUUCUUUGCUGACGAGUGGCGGACGGGUGAGUAAUGUCUGGGAAACUGCCUGAUGGAGGGGGAUAACUACUGGAAACGGUAGCUAAUACCGCAUAACGUCGCAAGACCAAAGAGGGGGACCUUCGGGCCUCUUGCCAUCGGAUGUACCCAGAUGGGAUUAGCUAGUAGGUGGGGUAACGGCUCACCUAGGCGACGAUCCCUAGCUGGUCUGAGAGGAUGACCAGCCACACUGGAACUGAGACACGGUCCAGACUCCUACGAGAGGCAGCAGUGGGGAAUAUUGCACAAUGGGCGCAAGCCUGAUGCAGCCAUGCCGCGUGUAUGAAGAAGGCCUUCGGGUUGUAAAGUACUUUCAGCGGGGAGGAAGGGAGUAAAGUUAAUACCUUGGCUCAUUGACGUUACCCGCAGAAGAAGCACCGGCUAACUCCGUG